rnacentral:rRNA from 1 species
GCCUACACAUGCAGUCGAACGCAGUAGCAAUACUGAGUGGCAGACGGGUGAGUAUAAUGUGGGAAUCUGCCUUUUGGUUUGGAAUAACACGAGGAAACUUGUGCUAAUACCGGAUAAGCCUUAACAGGGAAAGUUUUAACGCCAAAAGAUGAGCCCGCACUUGAUUAGCUAGUUGGUAAGGUAAUGGCUUACCAAGGCAACGAUCAAUAGCUGUUCUUAGAGGAAGACCAGCCACAUUGGGACUGAGACACGGCCCAAACUCCUACGGGAGGCAGCAGUGGGGAAUCUUGCACAAUGGGGGCAACCCUGAUGCAGCGAUGCCGCGUGAGUGAAGAAGGCCUUUGGGUUGUAAAACUCUUUCGUCGGGGAAGAAAAUGACUGUACCCGAAUAAGAAGGUCCGGCUAACUUCGUGCCAGCAGCCGCGGUAAUACGAAGGGACCUAGCGUAGUUCGGAAUUACUGGGCUUAAAGAGUUCGUAGGUGGUUGAAAAAGUUAGUGGUGAAAUCCCAGAGCUUAACUCUGGAACUGCCAUUAAAACUUUUCAGCUAGAGUAUGAUAGAGGAAAGCAGAAUUUCUAGUGUAGAGGUGAAAUUCGUAGAUAUUAGAAAGAAUACCAAUUGCGAAGGCAGCUUUCUGGAUCAUUACUGACACUGAGGAACGAAAGCAUGGGUAGCGAAGAGGAUUAGAUACCCUCGUAGUCCAUGCCGUAAACGAUGUGUGUUAGACGUUGGAAAUAUAUUUUUCAGUGUCGCAGCGAAAGCAUUAAGCACACCGCCUGGGGAGUACGACCGCAAGGUUAAAACUCAAAUGAAUUGACGGGGACCCGCACAAGCAGUGGNNCAUGUGGUUUAAUUCGAAGAUACGCGCAGAACCUUACCUACUCUUGACAUACUUGGAGGCUCUUGUAAUGAAGUAGUGCCUUCGGGAGCCAAGAUACAGUGCUGCAUGGCUGUCGUCAGCUCGUGUCGUGAGAUGUUCCGUUAAGUCGAAUAACGAGCGC